rnacentral:rRNA from 1 species
GAUGAACGCUGGCGGCGUGCCUAAUACAUGCAAGUCGAGCGAAUGGAUUAAGAGCUUGCUCUUAUGAAGUUAGCGGCGGACGGGUGAGUAACACGUGGGUAACCUGCCCAUAAGACUGGGAUAACUCCGGGAAACCGGGGCUAAUACCGGAUAACAUUUUGAACCGCAUAGUUCGAAAUUGAAAGGCGGCUUCGGCUGUCACUUAUGGAUGGACCCGCGUCGCAUUAGCUAGUUGGUGAGGUAACGGCUCACCAAGGCAACGAUGCGUAGCCGACAUGAGAGGGUGUUCGGCCACACGGGGCCUGAGACACGGCCCAGACUCCUACGGGAGGCAGCAGUAGGGAAUCUUCCGCAAUGGACGAAGGUCUGACGGAGCAACGCCGCGUGAGUGAUGAAGGCUUUCGGGUCGUAAAACUCUGUUGUUAGGGAAGAACAAGUGCUAGUUGAAUAAGCUGGCACCUUGACGGUACCUAACCAGAAAGCCACGGCUAACUACGUGCCAGCAGCCGCCGUAA